rnacentral:rRNA from 1 species
UACGUAGGCAGCGAGCGUUGUUCGGAGUUACUGGGCGUAAAGGGUGUGUAGGCGGUUGUUUAAGUUUGGUGUGAAAUCUCCCGGCUCAACUGGGAGGGUGCGCCGAAUACUGAAUGACUUGGAGUGUGGGAGAGGUGAGUGGAAUUCCUGGUGUAGCGGUGAAAUGCGUAGAUAUCAGGAGGAACACCGGUGGUGUAGACGGCUCACUGGACCGUAACUGACGCUGAGACACGAAAGCGUGGGUAGCAAACAGG